UUCUAACUCUGCUGUGAGUGAACUUGGCU
rnacentral:piRNA from 1 species